UCUCAUAACACAGGAUCGAAGCUUCGGCUCGAACUCUGAACCACAAUUCAUCUGAAACCCAAAGUCAACUGAUAAACUGUCAUCUGAACCCAAUCUAAGAAAACCGAGUCACCAACAGGACCACGAGUCACCAACUAGUCACCAACAAGUCACCAACUGUACCUGUAAUAAUGAUCAUUCCCUCCCCACUCACGGGUGUCAUCUAGGCCAAGGUAAGGUCGAGAGAAACGCAACAUAAAUAACCUUUCGCAGAAUAUUAUCAUAUACACACCCGAAGUAUGUAACGAUAAUAUCCCACCAGGGUCUGAACUGCUCGUGAUAUCAAUGUUCCGCUAAGUG
rnacentral:lncRNA from 1 species